rnacentral:rRNA from 1 species
CCCGCACAAGCGGUGGAGUAUGUGGUUUAAUUCGAUGCAACGCGAAGAACCUUACCUGGUCUUGACAUCCCGGAGACCCUUAGGAAACUAGGGGGUGCUUCCAUCUGGAAGAAUCUGGAGACAGGUGCUGCAUGGCUGUCGUCAGCUCGUGUCGUGAGAUGUUGGGUUAAGUCCCGCAACGAGCGCAACCCUUGCCUUUAGUUGCCAGCAGUUCGGCUGGGCACUCUAAAGGGACUGCCGGUGUUAAACCGGAGGAAGGUGGGGAUGACGUCAAGUCCUCAUGGCCUUUAUGACCAGGGCUACACACGUACUACAAUGGCCGAUACAAAGGGCAGCGACACUGCGAGGUGAAGCCAAUCCCGUAAAAUCGGUCUCAGUCCGGAUUGGAGUCUGCAACUCGACUCCAUGAAGUUGGAAUCGCUAGUAAUCGUGGAUCAGCAUGCCACGGUGAGUACGUUCCCGGGCCUU